UGUUGUUGUGUAGCUGAAGCUCUGACUCACAUUUCAUAUGUGACCAAAGGAAACUUGGUGCUGUGUGACACACUUUAGAUUCUCUGCUGCUGCUUUGAACUCUUCAAACUAAAGAGCCAAACUGAUGAUUGACUGUGCAGCUCUGACAUGGCACCAAAUGUCCCUGUUAUCAGCUGCUGGAUGGACGUUAUCAGAGCUUUUUAGUCCCACACGGAUCACCAGGAGCUCCUCCUCGGUCUGCAAACAGGCUCAGCAGCUCUGAUCAUUCAUUGGAGUCAGCACAGAGUGUGGAGACAUCUAGUGGUCGUGGAGAGUAGCGCGAUCAAAGCUCUGCUGGUGAAUGUAGUUACUGUAAGGUCUCUGAUGGAGCUCUGUGAUUGGUGGAUUGUCCAAACUAAAUUAAGUUUCUUUGUCCUCUGAUAAACCAUGAAUGGACCGAUCAGCUGAUCAGCAGUCAGGACAUCAGUGUCGUGACACGAGUACUGGAUCAAAUGUGACCCUGAGCUUUGUUUUGACCAACAAAGUUCACAUCCUGCUUCUUCUUCCAGUUCAAACAUGCAAAAGUUCAUUGGUUUCCACAGCAGAGCCUGACACAGCGCUCCACGCCUUCUCCUCAUCACAUUUGUGCUUCCUGACGUGCAGCUGCUUCCUAAACUUCCAGACUUCUAACUUUAUUCAUAGGGAGGAGAUCACUCCACUGCACUGCAGACAGACUUCACACUUUCAUGAAUUCCUUCUAAGGCCUGAUGUGGCUUUGCUUCCUGCUACAGGACACAUUUAUUCACACCUUAUGAACCAAUCAGGAGCCUCCUACCUGUUCCCACAGCCGCCUCAUUAAUAAAAGGAAGUCAGUGUUUCUGUGAGCCGACGAGCUGAACUCAGACUUUUCGCUUAUGCCACGUCUUAUUUCUUUCUUUAUUGUAUUUAUUUAUUUGACCUGCACAGUGAUUUUAUUUCUAUAUGUAGAUAUUUGAUAUUCUGUAACUGAAGCUGUGUCCACGUUUGAUCUCAAAGUGACACAUGGACUCUGUCUGUGUCCUCAGUUUCCCAGCAUGCCUCGGCUGUGGAGCUGAGGGAGAGCUGUUUGUCCUGCUGCCCUGUGAGUUUCCCACUUUUGAACUGGACAGCCCCACAGUGGUGUGGAGUCGCUCCGACCUCAGUCCUCCAACCGUCCACCAGCAUCAAGGAGACGAACUGAAAGAUCCAAACCAGCGUUACAGCGGCCGAACAUCCAUGAAGACUGACGCUCUGGAAACUGGAGACCUCAGCCUGAACCUGACCAACCUCCACCUGUCUGACAGCGCCACCUACACCUGCUCCGUCAGAUCAUUUAGACUGAGAGAUGUCCCACUGCAGGUCAAAGAACCAUUUCCAUCCUGGGCCACAGCUCUGCUGGUUCUGCUGGUUCUGCUGGCUCUUCUGGUUCUCCUGGUUCUGCUGGUUCUCCUGGUUCUUCUGGUUGUCCUGGUUCUCCUGGUUCUUGUUCUCAUCGUCUCUGGAGGUCUUUUAUUUCAUUUCUGGCACUAUUUUAAGUCAGCUACAGCAGGACUGUGCGGUGACGCGCUGUCAGGAGGAGACAGGUCUGCGACAGGAGCCCCGCCCCCUUGUUCUUCUGGCCGGUGUGGUUUCCAUCCCGGAAGAGAAAUUCCUCUCCUGUUUCAGAUAAGGAACAUUUGCCCGCGUGUGGCUGGACUGUGGGAUUAUGGGAAUUUUAGCAUAUGGAAACAUUUGUUUAGCCUUUGUGUUGACAGUGUAGAGUUAUUUCUGCAGCAGGGUUUUAAGUGUGUUGAGACUCUUUUUAUUGUAUAGGGGAUUUAACCUGUAACUCUGGUUGUGUCUGUUUCCAUGGAAAUAAAUGGUGUGUUUAAGGCCAACUUAGUGUCUGUGCCCUGAGCACUGACCCACUCACUCCCCUUCUAUUUGUAUGUGAACGCACUUUGAGGUGCAGAUUUAGAUCCACCACUUUAAGCGGCUACACUAACACUCAGAGAGUCAGUUGGAGGUGGAGGAGGGGGCGGAGUCUGUCCGGCUGCCUGAGGACACUCAGGUGGAGUGGUGGCACCGUCCUGAGAAGCCUGACAAACAGCAGCAGCAUCACAGAGACCGAGUGAAAGAAAGACGAGCGUGUGAAAAGCGGACAGUUCAGCCUGACCCUUAAACACCCCACAGAGAGAGACAGAUACAGCUGUGUGGCCUGGAGCCAGGGAAACAUCAUCGGAUGGAGAGUCGUGCUGCUCACAGUUACAGGGACGGUUCAGGUCCAGGAUCAAACAUCAGGAACAGAAGCAGCUCCAUUGAUCCGAC